CGUAACGGGCCGCGAACAAGGUGAAUCCUCUGGACAUCGAUCGUCUCACUUUUUCUACGUUUCUCCGAUCUUGACGAUAGUUGACGUUACCGAUGGAAAAUUCUUGGUAAAUUAAUUCAAUGUUUCAUUUUUUACAAGCCGCAAUAUUUUAUUACACAUUACAAAUGACUUAUAAAUGUAUUAAUCCCUGGUUAAAUAACACGUCAAACGAUAAUAAUAUCGUUUGAGUACGAAUAAAGAGAAUAUCGGGCUUGCACGAUAUAGUUUGGCAUAUAUAGGUUUCUUCGGACUUCAGUUACUUCGGAUACUUCAAAAUGAUACCAGUACUCAUUUAGCAGCGCAAGAAGGAAAUUUCAUCGAGUCGGAUAUUGUUGAAUUUUUGAACACGUCACUGAUAUAAUUGAGUUUCACAGGCUAACUUCUUUGUACGUUCUAUACGAGCGAAGCAAGUGAGUGGCAGGAACGAAACUAAUGCGAAUUACUUAUACUUUUCGUUUUCUAAGCACUGUUACUUGUAUUUAUGUUUCGAACAAAAUUUUUCAAAUAGAGGAAACUCUGAAACACGUUACCAUCGUCUAUCGAGUCACUUGCAACGUAUAAGAAUAUCGAAUAUCUUCUAUUCCACAAAUUCGUCUCUUAUUUUGAUAAUUACGAACAUUUGUCGAGGUAAAUUUCGCGUAAUACGCGAAAUAUUUGAAUACGGAGUAAAUGAAAUAAUUUUUGGGCUUAAAGGCUUAAGGAAGCCAAUUUCAGGAUACAGCGAUUACCUAGUAACCUUAAGAUGAAAAAUCAGAUAUACGGUUGCUCAGGAAAUAUCUCUACGAAUACUAGGAAAUGGGAACGUAGAAAGAUACUCGAGUGAGUCAUAUCUAAAACUUUCGUUUUCAUUUGACGAAUGCAUAAAUUUGUUAUGUUCGAUUUACACGAAUCUCAUUCGCAGUUACCUUGACCCACAUUUUUGUUUGUUUGUUGUUUUCACGAUCAGUUACUCGUCCGCGACGAGACCAAGAUUAGAGUAGAUCGCAGUAGGCAUCCUAGAAUGCGCGAUUGUGAAAUUUACACCUUUAAUAGCGUUAUUCCUCUUCCUGUAGUCAUUCAUAAAGCCGGUUUCAACAAUCUCGAUCCUUGGCGAGUCCGUAUUUAUGUUCACAAAUGAAGUAGAUAGAUGGCAAACGUACCCCACUUCUCUUUCUCGCAACAAAACAGAAACUAGCUGUUCCUUAUCGCGUUACAAUUAUGCAACCGACACUGUCAACGGAUAACGCUUGGCAAAGGUAUAUCACCAUUCUUAACCGUGGCCCGCCAGUAACGGGUUUUUCAACGAGGUUCCUUUUUGUAUGAAAUCCUUGGCCAUCGAACCGUUAGUUUGGAGUAGAUGUUCCUCUAACUACGCACCGAUAGGUCUAUAAACGAGAAACCGCUACGAAACAAUUUCGAUAAAUUUCACUCAGACGUUAAUUUGUGCAUGUGUGUAUUCAUGUCAACUAUAUGAAUCGGUUUGUUCCUCUUCGAAGUACAUUUAGUUUUCAUCGAUAAAGAUCGUUCUCCUUUCUUCGUUUAUCGUUCUUGAAAAAAAAAAAAAAAGAAGAAACUUCUACGUAUACGAUAAAGAAAGAUACUUAUCGAAACCUUUAAUUCGAUAAAGAACGCACAUCGUUUGCAUUAUAUACAAAAUCCCGUUUUUUCAUUUGAAAUUUCUCAGUAACAAAAGAUUAUUUAAAGACUAAUUUUGGCGAAUAAUAGAAACCGAUAAAAACGAAUUCGCUCGAAAUCUAAUGUUUCUUAGGUCGAAAGGAAAGGGAAAGGAUAUUGAUAUGAGCCAAGUUGUUUUCGCUCGCUUGUUUAUCUUCUUUUACAGAUUUCUCAUCUGAAUUAAUUUAUUUCUUGUAAAUCUAUGAACACUAAGAAAGCACGCGGAAAACGUUCUCCGCUCGGAAGAUGCUUAAAUUCUAGAAAACUCUGACCAGAUGUCCGAAGAACAAUGAUUUCAAAUCAAGCGAAUAUUUAAAGAAAGGAAAGUGAUAUACAAUAUGGUAACGUAAAGCAAGUAUUGUUUCAUCUUGGAAAGGAAUCACGACAUUUCUUAUUUUUUCAUUCGUAAUCAAGAUUAUCUACAAAUUUUAAUUGCAGAAAUAAUACGCAUCGUCGAUUUUAUCUCUAGGAAACAACGAACGAUCGAUCUUUCUAACUCUGCAUACGCAUUUACCAUCACGAUUGCAAUUUACUUCCUUAAUUAAAGUGUUCUCCGCUUAAAUAAUCGACAUAGUCAAAAGCAAAGUUCAACGUUGAUGAAAAAAUGAUUUAUUUCUACGACAUUUCGCUACGUUGAGGAAGAAAAGAAAUGCCCUCUUGGGACAUCUGGUCGCGAGUGUUUGUGUGUGUGUGUGUGUGUGUGUGUGUCUGUGUCUGUGACUGUGUAUAUAUACACAAUAAACGUAACUAAUUAACAGUAACAUAAUCUGCAUACGUAAU